CAGGGACGGGGGAGCCUGGUGGGCUGCCGACUAUGGGGUCGCACAGAGUCGGACACAACUGAAGUGACUUAGCAAUGAUGAUAAAGCACUAUUCCGACUUCUAGUCUCAGGACAAAUUAAGUGAUUUGGAUAACUCCUUUUGAGCAGUUCAUGUUUUCAGAGUCACCGUGAUGGUCUGGAUCUACUUUCAAUGCACUAAUGUUGCAACUUGAAGAGGGGAAGGACAUCUCUGGACCAGCUGGUGUCCCCAGGGCGUUUGACUUUAGUUGAGGAGAAGGGAAGUGAUUCUGAAGAAGAGCCUAGGGGCUCCUCUUCGAAGAUUUCAAAUAUGCCAUCAGUCUAUCACUUCCCUUUCUUUUGAGUUCAUAAAACCACAAGAAUGGAUUGGACAGUUGGGCUACCGUGGCAAAUUCCUCUGUGUCACUGGGGACACAAAAGAAUCCUAAAAAGGACCUUUGUCUUCAAGGUUGAAGCAAAAGAGACUGACUAUGGAAGAGGUGCAGAAACUUGGAGAGAAUAUUUAGGAAGACUUCUUGGAGGAGGGGAUAUUUCAGCUGGUUUAGAAGAGUGAUAGAGUUUAAGAGAUGAAGGAGGAGACAGCAAGAGAAACAUCCCGGAGGAUGGAGUCUCAUGCCACAUAAAUUAAGGUCCCACUUUACUGAAGAUGGAUAUUGAAGAGCAAAAGUAUGGGAGAACAUACAGAGAAAUCACCCAGAGUGGGCCCCUGAAGACCAGAGUUCCUUCCCAGGGUGAACCAGAUGAGGGCAAUGGGAGAGCAUUCUGGGUCUACCUAGACUGUGUAGAAAUGUAGCCAGAAUUGGAGCCAGGAAACGCUAUGGAAAGAAGGUCAGUUGGAAGGUAGGAUUAGCAAUAUAAGGUCUCGAAAAGAAGGCAUGGAGCUGGGGUGCUUGUGACAUGUGUUAGGAGAAAUGGCAGAAGGUUGGGUAGGAGAAGGUGGUCUGGGAGAUAGGAUGAAGCGUUAACUGUGUGCAGAGGGAGAGAAAGUUACUGUCAACCCUUACAUGCAGUGGUUUUAUAGAGCAAAAGGAGUAUGUGAUGCAGAGAGUCAGUGGAGUAAGGGAGUCCUGAUGGUUUUGCCUUUUAAUAUGAUUAAUUAGCUAGAGGGAACUCUCAUAUUUCCAUUGUGCAACGACAUCUCCUCUUCUUGUGACCGCCUAAAUCAUAGCCUUGAGAUUGGGUAGUGCUGAGAUCUCGGGAUUCAUUCAACUUUGGCUCUUGGAUUUGGGGUGUGCCAGCCCCUGAAGUAC